rnacentral:rRNA from 1 species
UACGUAGGGGGCUAGCGUUGUCCGGAUUUAUUGGGCGUAAAGAGCGUGUAGGCGGCCAGGUAGGUCGGGUGUGAAAACUCGAGGCUUAACCUCGAGAUGUCAUCGGAAACCAUCUGGCUAGAGUCCGGAAGAGGAGAGUGGAAUUCCUGGUGUAGCGGUGAAAUGCGCAGAUAUCAGGAAGAACACCCGUGGCUAAGGCGGCUCUCUAGUACGGUACUGACGCUGAGACGCGAAAGCGUGGGGAGCGAACAGG